rnacentral:rRNA from 1 species
UGCGUAGGUGGCGUGGUAAGUCGGGUGUGAAAUUUCGGAGCUUAACUCCGAAACUGCAUUCGAUACUGCCGUGCUUGAGGACUGGAGAGGAGACUGGAAUUUACGGUGUAGCAGUGAAAUGCGUAGAGAUCGUAAGGAAGACCAGUGGCGAAGGCGGGUCUCUGGACAGUUCCUGACACUGAGGCACGAAGGCCAGGGAGGCAAACG